UCUGUCCCUUCCCUUUUAUCAUUUAUGACAAGGGGGUUCAUUACCUGGCUAAUUGUUGCAAUAAUGAGAAGCUUGUUUAUCUAGGAGGAGUAAUUAGAGGUGUCAUUUAGCAUCAAUUACACCCGUGGUGGUUUAAUCUGCCAUUAGGAUGCAGCCAGAGAGAAUGUACCCAGGCCUACUCCAGGUUGAACGCAGCUGUUAUGAAGGAUGUGUACAAUUUGCCCCACAGAUAGAGGGACGAUUUGCCAUUAAUCUGAGUGUCUGGUGGACAGAGAAGAUAUUGCAGUGUUUAUUCCUAAUAUUAACCAAGAGAGGGCAACACUGAAAACACUACGUGAAUACAGAAUGUAAUAUGUAUGGGGGGGGUUAAUAUUUAGUGUCUGGGCUAUGAUCUUGGCAUCCCCCUGCAAACGUACACAAAAUAGACAUAUAAAUAGUCCGUGUUCAAGACAACAGACCGCAUUAUUGAAUGCAUUAUUCAUAUAUUAUUUAGUAGAGCCCGACCGAUUUAUCGAUAGGCCCGUGAAAAUCAGCCAACCAAAGCCUUUUAUAGACAUAUUGGUAUCGGCAUCAAUGUUUGCUAAUUUGCGCCGAUAUGAAAAGUUGUAUUAUCCAAAGUAAAUUAUUGUUUUCUUCUCAGUUAUAUAUUUAAAAAAUAUUGUUAUUGAGGUUUAAGAUAUCGAUCCUCAAUUACUCAAUUUCUUUGCCGUAUGGGUGAUAACAACAAAAUAUUGAUAUAUUGGCCGAUGUUUGGGUAUCUGAAAUUUUUUACUCCCUUAUAUUGGUGUUGGUAAAUUAGUAUUGGAUUUACCCCCCAAAAUCAGUGACGGUCAGGCUCUCGUACUUCGACUAUUUCUCGUAGCCAUUGCCAAUCACGCCAACACAACACCAACUACACAGGGCAAGGCACUGACGCACAACAUGCAUGAAAGACCAAACAUCGUACACCAGUGGCUCUGUGGAGUGAAGCAGUGAUCGAUUGGACGCUAACUGUCUUAUGAAAAGCAACAGGUAUUCAGCAGCAGGGGCAAGCGCUGGCCGCAUUGAUACAACAGAACGGAAAUAGCAGCGGUGCAUCAUGGCAGAGCAAAAGAAUUGGCAGAGGCCUACGGUCUGAGAUAGCUCGCCUCAUUGUAAAGCGCAUGUUGGAUAACCAAUACGUCGACCAGUGUAUGUCACGUGUGAGCGUAAUUCUUAGAUAGUGAGUGCCCUAACAAUUAGACCACAAUAAUCGAACUGCUAUUAAGCUUCACACACGUGCGACUGAAGGGAGAGGCACUGUCUGUGAGGGCAAAUGAUUGCCAUAAUUGUAUUCAUGCAUUAUGUUAAAUAUCAAGCACAACCUGAACACAAAACUGUUCGGUUUCUUCAUUUGUAAUGCUUCGAGUAAGCAAUCAACGUGUUGGUAGGGGAUGUUUUCUGAAGCCGAUCUUCCUACCAGACUGUUUUUUUGUUGUGAAAGUGUACACAAUCCGUAAGAUAUCCCCACAAUAAUAUAUGUAUGAUUUAUGAAAAAGUUAAUUUGUUUCACGCCAUUUUUUUUAUACACAUAUUACUCAAGUAUUACCAAUUUAAUUUAAGUUAAUCCUGUUCCAACCAGGAUAAAAGUGAGAGGUGUAAUAAUGUGAAUAAGCACCAAUUGAUAAUAGUAUUAAUGAUAAUGAUAAAGCUGAGUUUGUAUUUUUGUAUUGUAUUACUCACCAGCUAUCACGGGCUUAUUCAGCACCGUCUCUCCACAUGACUUGUGUGACCUUGUUCAGUCUCUCACAGGUUCAUCAGAAUAAAGGCAGAGGAUAAUUGACUGUGGGGUAAAAGCAGGGCAAUUGACUUAAUAACAGAGCGUUCUUUAUUUGUAUCAACGUGCUGUGUGUUCAUCUUUCUUUAUUGAAACACAAAUACUCAAUGGAGAGUUAAGCUGUGUGUGCAGAUUGAUCGUGGUAAUCACUAACGUCUUAUACAACUCUACAUACAAAUAACUAGGAUCAGAAAAACCAGAGAAGCGAGGGGCUCAGUAGUCGGGCGAAGGCCAGGUGUCGGUCACAUUGAGCUGUUUCCACUACAGGCAGGAAACUCGCCAUUCAUUGUGCAAUAUAUGGCAUAUUUGAAUGUGCAACACUCCUCGAACACACUGGUCAAAGGUUGUUGCUGUAGCUAUUUACAUUUCACAAUGAGUUUUCCUUGAAUUAAAACAAGGAAACAGUGGUUUGCUAGAUUUAUACAGGGGAGAUGGACCAACCGAUUUGACAGUAGGUAUGAGUAUGCACCAGGUUAUUUGGUUUUAACAUGUCUAGAAUAAUCUCAAUGAGAGAUUGUUCGCUGGCUGUUAAGGUUACUGCUUUAGCGCUUCCCUUUGAGUUGCAAUGAGGUCCGUACAUCCCUCUGCAUCUCUCUUACAUGAUGCCAAUUACUUCCAGGCCCCCUGGAGGGAAGGAUGGGAGAGUGGCUCAAACUACUGCUGCCAUCGCAUGCGCUACAUUUAACUAUUGAACUGAGGACUCUUGAAAUAAUCAUUAUCGUAUCCUCACCCCACUGAGCAGGGUAGGAUUGAUCAUAUGAUCGCCACAAAAAUGAGUGAAAAAAGAAGAGAUGCCGAAAAAAGGUGUCAGGGGGAAGAGCCAUUCAUCCAGUAAGUAAAGAAGCUCUUUACCAUCUAUGUACUGGAGACCAAAAAUGAAAAGCGGCUGUAUACCUUCGAAUGAAGUAUGCACAUUAUAAAAAGGCCAAGUUUACCCUGUGCCAUAUAUUUACAUGUAUCCCAGAUAUGUUGGCUUCAUUUUUGUACAACAGGGGGAAGCGGAGAUUUGAUACAGACUUUAACAAUCAACAGUUUCACGGUUUCCUACAGUCCGUCUCUUCGUUCCACAGCCUGAACAGGUCUGUCUGCCUCCAUCCGAGCCUGAGGGCCAGCGUCAUGCUCACCAAGUGACUACGUUGGCAAAAAACUGUGUCAGGUGGUCAUAAAGAUGGCAUAAGACUGAUUCCCCCUUUACCAGCUCGUCUUUUUUUUUCUAAUAAGAGCUUUAGUGUGGAGAAGUUGUCAGAAACGUCUAGUUUUCAACUAUAGUAAAGAGAAAUACUUCAGUUAAUGAGAGAAAAAUUUAAAGCACAAGUGGUGGUUAUCUUUUAAUUACUUGAGCAAAUCUACCCUACUCGUGUGUGUGUGUGUGUGUGUGUGUGUGUGUGUGUGUGUGUGUGUGUGUGCUUUUUACAAUUGCACUAAAUUAGAAUUUAGUGCAGUUGUAAAAUAAAACCAAAAAUCGUCCCCCUUGACCGCGCCACUGUUAAAAGGAUCAGGAAAUGAAAGCAUUUUAAAAAAUCUACCUGUGUAGAGUUGUUGUUUUUUUCCUGUAGAAAGCAACCAUUAAUAAAUCUGUUGUUCCUGCUAUGACAUGCCACACUGUCUUGUGUGGAAAGGGCCUGCGGGCAAAAUACCCAAUUUGUGGUCUGACUUUCUUUUGAAGUUUGAUGAGUUAAUCCAUUGAUGUCGUGUGCGCAUUUUUGUGUCUGUGUGUAUUUGUGUGUCCUAACAUGUUCAGUUUAUUCUUGUAUUUCUUUUUGCACACUGAUCAGCAUCUUUUAAACAAUGUGCCGGGUCUUUCGUAUGGCGCCAAAUCACAACAUCCAUUAUCACUUUACACAGUAGGGUGGGGGUCUUAUUAAUAUUUCAGAGUAUAAACCAACAGUUCCCACGUGGAGAACAGUGAAAAGAGAGAGAGAGAGAGAGAGAGAGAGAGAGAGGGAGAGAGAGAGAGAGAGAGAGAGAGAGAGAGACCUGUGCGAGCGUCCGCCUGCCUCGACCGGUUGGGUUCAGAGAAGCGAGAUGUGGGGAAAGAAGUGUGGGCGGGACUAAAGAGAGAGGGACCAGGAGCUGCUGUCUGAUUCGUUCCUGUAUGCAUUCCUAUCAGAAUCCACAAAUAUAUUGCAUGUACAUGUUCAAAAAUGUAAAGCUCGUACAGCAGUGAAUGCAGACAAAUUAAAUUCACACCCGCUCGUGAAUGCACAUGGUGAGCUGUAUUCUCACACACGCACACUUCCCCUCAGCUGGACUCUGCUUAUCAUCCGUAGCAGUGUUUGCGUUAGUUCAUUGAGUUCUGGAUCAAACAGAUAUAAGAGUCUGCGGCGCCACGAGGGGGGACAAUUAGCCUUAAUGAAAUGCAGGAGCAAAUCACACUCAGUGCUGUGCUAACAGUUGUUCGGUGAAUAUUCAUGCGCUGUUGGCUUUGCAGAUGCAUUAAAAGGCGGCGCUGCGUUGCUGAAUACCAAUCGUUGCAUUUCCACCUGUCACUCGUCUACGCUCUCACUGAAGUUAACACCCUAAUCAGCCUUAUUGCUGUUACAAUGUUUUUUGGGAGCUCAUCGCCGCUCAAACACGCGCCGCAUCUGUCACCCAAUCCAGCGGCACCUGCGGCCGUUCCUCCAUUUGAAAACGGUAGCAGCUGCUCACCUUUUCACAAAAUAGUUCAGACACAUCACACACGAAUGGAUAGCGGUGAUAACGUCAGACUGUGAAGUAGAACAGAUGAACUUUACUCACACAAGAGUUGCUGAUCUCGUUGAUAGAGUAGCAAGCGUCACUGCGUGUAUGUCCCUCAGCACACUGCAAUGGCCAAACCUUCUAUUGUUCAUCACGAAGAAAAUAAAAAUAACCAGUCACGGCUCUAUUAAAGCGAUAAGCAACUCUUAUUAGUAAAGCUAUCAUGAGCUUCUUUACAAAUUCAUUUGUUAUUGUUGAGAAAUAAAUUGUUAAGGAGUGCUGCUAUUAUUAAUAACACAAUUACACAUACGUAUCACUAGUAUAAAAUGAUUCCAACCAGGGUGAUGGUGCUUGAAAACAAAAGGUAGAAACAGUGGAGCUGUCCCUGUUCUCUUUCUCCUCUCUCAACCAUUUCUUUCCUCUCAAUUGAUCUUUUGUAAAUUUAAACAUUUGGUGUCCUAUUACUUUUGAACUCCACUUUUUAAUGCCAGAUUCGUGAUAGUCUAUUUUCUGAUCCAUCCAUGCUACUUUUAACUUGCAGGCAUUUUUUAAAAUACGUAAAUAUUCGGGUUAAGUGUGUGAUCCCCUCUCUGCAGCCUCCGUCCCUACAGCCUGUCUCACUCUUUGUGUUGACCUCUCGCAGAGCGGGAGACAACUUCAUCAUUAGCAGCUACUCGUCAGUCAGACAGGACAGACAGUGGCCAGAUGGUGGUGAGAUUAUCCUCCAUUAGAUAACAUAACUCUACCGUGGCCUGUUUUCAUGAGAAGUCCAGUCAACGAGUCAGCUAUUUCUUUAAAACAGUUUGUAGAAGAUGAUGAUGGAUGAUUUUUAUCAUUAGCUCUUAAUACUAUGAGUAGGAGUAGUGACAAGUGGAACAGAGGGAGCAGGAUCAGUUCAAUAACAGUAUUGCUCUUGUCUAUAUCUAUCUAUCUAUCUAUAGAUAGAUAUAGAUAGAUAGAUAUAGGAUUUUACAGAAUUACAGGGCCUGCCAAUGUUAAAAGUGCUUCCUUUGAAUCAAAGCUUAAAACUUGCACUAAUCGUGCCAAAUUUCCUGAUUUCACCUGAUUCUAGUUUUCAUUAUUUUUAUGGUUUGUCAUGUUUAAAUUUUUAUUUUUUAUUCUUUUAUGCCUGUGUUUUUAUGUUAUUUCUAUGUGGGUUUUUUAAUGUUUUUUUGAGAAGUACUGUAUAAAUAAACAUAUUAUUAUUAUUGUUGUAAUUAUUAUGAACAUUCAGGGUAAAUUUAUGUUUUUUUAAGGUAUGUUAUUUAUAUAUAGGCUAGUUAGUCUAUAAACUAGCCACCAAACAAAGAACCAAGUGAGUAAACAUGUAGACAAACAACAAAUUAUACAGUCAAAGUUGUAACGACUCACCAAGCUGAUCCAAUCCAGAGUGAACCACAAAUUUCCCAAUAAUUACUGUAAGGAAGUUUCAAAAAAGAAAAGGAAAAAAAGGAGGGGGUGGGGGGAUGGAGUCAUUGCUUCAGUGGAAAUGUGCAAAACACAAGAGGACAGAUGAGACGUAGGCUUACUCAACACUGUCAUCUGGAGGCACUUGGUUGUAAAUGUUACAGGAGGUGUUGUAAAAACAGGAAGGCACAACUCAUGGGUCUUCCUGUUUUUCAAAACUCUCUUGUAUCGGUGCUGUUUCUAUCAUUUCAGCAGCCAUGUGCCAACAGUCAACUAUUUUUUUUUUUAUGGCGUCAUGCUUCAAUUGUUGAAUCCACCUCUGCCACGUCUGAUCUGUGUCGUGAACACAAUUGCAGAAUCACCGACUCACCACCUGUCGUAAAUGGAAGGAAAUGCUCUGUCAAAUCCAUCAAAUUCAGCAAGGUGGAUCACAAACAACCCCAGUUUCAGUGGCAAUUUUGUGACAACAUUAUGGAAGACAGAGAUGAGUGCAAAAACCCCAUAUAAGAGAGCGCAGGGGUAAGCCACCAACAGCUGCUGCCCAUCCAUGGCCAACGCCGAGAUGAAGAUCUUUGAAGCCGAGAAGCUGCACCAGCCGAUAAUUGCUGCUGUCAGUACAAUUCCAAUCAUUCCCCUGGAGAGGACAACAAAGGGAGAAGGGAGUUAUCUUUCAUUAUUUCGACAAUCAACUGUAGUGAAGCAUCAAUGAUAUAGUUUCAUUAAAUGUACAACAAUCAGUCAUCCAACUAGUUACUACUUACACUGCCCUACAUAUUGAUCAAGAUGGAAAACUAUGAAAGUUGUUUUUGUUAUAAACAUCAUAGAGAGGUUGCUCUAGUCAAAUGCAAUAAAAUCUUAAAUCGGA